AAAGCAGGAGAAGGAAUCAAGGAAGGCUUCCUAGAGGAGAUGACCCUUGAGCUGAGUCCUGCUGAAGGGGUAAAACUUAUUCAGAUGAAGGAGAGAGAUGCAGUCACCAACCACCCUGAAUCAGACUGAGCCCCACCACAAGAGCAGUGCCUGCACACAUGAGCUGAGAGAUGACUUAAAGUCGCUCUUUGCUUCAUUUUAAUGCGAAGAUCUCUGCCCCAGGAGGAGCCUAAGCCUUAUUACCACAACAUGCAAUACCUAAAGGAGAUAAGGGAGCCAGCCAUAUGGAUGGGUAUCUGGUGAGAAAACUUUCCAGAAGAGGAAACAGCAAGUUCAAAUCCCUGAAGAGGAGCAUGAGUGCACCAGAUUGAUUGGAAGGGUAACGAAUUGGAGGAGGAAAAUAUAUCAAGCUUCAUUAGAAGAAAUAAAAUAAGUUAAUUGAUAAAUCUAGAGAAAAUUGUACAGUCCCUGAGUCCUUGUGGUGAAAUUGAUGACUUACGGAGAAGGAUUCUGCUGAACAUGUACUUCUUGCUUCCACAAGAGUGAGAAUUGUUCAUACCCAUUGCUGCAGACCUGGUCUCAAAACUGCUGCUGGAAUUACCGAGAUGGAAGCGAAUUCCUCUGAAUGAGGUUUUGAAGCUGGUUAGAAGAUAGGUUUGGGGGACAUCUUGCGGGGGAGCAUUAUUCUGCCUACCAAAGCACUCAAUCUGGAUUUGGGGAUCAGAAAAAGCUUCCUGGAGGAAUUGAUGCCUAAGAAGAGAUUUAAAGGAUGAAGAGGAGUACCUACUUCUGGAGAGAAGAAGUAUUUAUCAGAAGAGUGGAGCAACAGUGAGUGGACCAAUUUGUUCAAGAAAGAACUUACUGUUCAGCCACAAACUGGGCCUGGAGAUGGUACACAUCACAUCCAUCCAUCUUCUGUUGGCCAGAAUUUAGUCAUACGAUCAUACCUCACUGCAAGGAGCUUGGGAAAAGCAGUCCAGCUGCAUUCCCAGGAGGAAGAGGAAAGAGGUUUGGCGGAUACCUAGGCAGUCUAUGCCACAGAGGGAUGAGGUCAACCCAGCCAUCAGCAAACUAGAAUCAGUGCCUGAUUCCAUAUUCAAUUCAUUGAAAUUAAGACACUGAAGAUUCCUGUUACAAGCAAUGCAAGCAAACGCAAAACAUAAGGGAAUGGCAAUUUGAUGUCUGGACACAGGAAAUGAUCCCUCAGUCUUUCUGGGCUUCACAAAGGAGGAUCAAAUCAGCAAUUUUCCAGCACUCUCUGAGGAUAUGGAAUGGAUGGCUCAGCACAACUCUUCCUCUUACUAGGGCCACCUCCUCACAUGCCUUAAUCUGCAUGACAGAAUGCAGGGAUGUGCUGCAGGUUUCAACUUCUUCUUUGUGUUCCCUCUUCAAGUGUAAAAUAGCAGAUGCCUAAAUGUCUGACUUGUGAUGGAAAUGCCUGUUCCCAUGGAGCCGCUGCUUCCAAGAAAGCUUGCCACAGACAAAGACAAGGCAGAAAAUGGCCUCCUCACUGGAGAUGAAAAGAAGCUGCACUGAUGAGGAAAUCUGUUCCCAACUCCUGUCACUAAAAUUUCCUCUUCUGCCUCUAGUUUUCUUUAUUGUGCACCCCCUGAAGCAUUUGCAUUUGUGUAUUGCAACACACAAUAGAGAAACUAUGAUUCUAUAACCCAAUUUUGGUAAAUGCUACCAAAGUGGAGAGAAUAAUAUACAGAAAUAUAGGGCCUCCUGAUUACUUUAAGACUAAGAUUCAUCUCCCAUUGGGCCUUUAUAUUGUUGAGAGAACUCUAAAGAUCUAACAUAUACUUUGGAACAUUUGGAAGACAACAACAAUUACCUGUGUAUCAGCUUGUAUUGGUGUAUUGCAUAGCUGUAGCUGUGCCUAUAUCAGAUUAUUAGAAUCAAUGCAUUUAAAAUACCUAACACAUGUCAGAUACAAUGCUGAGUACUGAGGAAACAAAGAUGGCAGGGUCCCCUGACUUCCAGGAGCUCACACUUUAGAAAGAUAGGCAUAUGAAUAACUAUCUGUAGAAUAUUGUGCUAAUUUAUUUAGAAAAUGUAAUCGGAACACAGAUGACAUAACAAAGAACUGUGGUGGAGACAAAGAUAGAGUUUGAGAGAAAGGUAUAGGAGAAAAGACGUUUAUGCUGGGCUUCAAAAGGUGAAUUGAAAUUUUCCUGGCUGGACAAAGAUGGAAAGGGCAUUUCAGCAGAGAUAAAAACAAUAAAGACCUCAAGACAUGGAAGUGCACGGCAUGCCUAAAGAACAUGUAAAGCUGAAGGGUUAGAAUGCUAGGUAAUAUUUCAGCAAGUGUGAUCAUCAACAUUACUAUCAUUUGGAGUGUUUGUUUAACUUUUCAGUUUCCUGAGCUCUAGACUGAACCUACUGAAUCAGACUAUCUGAAAAUGAGGAUGAGGAAUCUGAAUUUUGGAAAUGUGUGUGAUGAAUAAAGGUUGAGAACCAUCCUAUUUAGGUCGAGUCAGGAAUACAGGGAAGGACACAUUGACUCAUGACUCCAAGUAGUUCUGUGGUUAUAUGCUUAUAUACUAUUAGACUGAUCAAUUCAAUUCCAAAUGUGUUCAAUCAAAUAAAUAGAUUUCACUGUUUGUAAAUUUAUUAUUGUAAAUUGCAAAACUUCUGUAAACAGAAGCCCACUUACUAUAAAUUGAGUCAAAAGACAAAGAUCCAACUGUGCCUGUUCAAAAAUGGGAAGAUGUUUUCCAGACUGUUUUCGGCUCCAAAGAGAAUCUUCUUAUCUAACACUGGGAUCUUGAUUAAAAUCUCUCCCUUCUCAGCAGCAAAAAACUCUCUCAAGGAGUCUCAAAAGAGAGUCAGCUCAGGGGCUGGCCUGGUGGUGUAGUGGUUAAGUUUGCAAGCUCUGCUUUGGCGGCCCAGGAUUCACAAGUUUGUAUCCCAGGUGUGGACCUACACACCGAUAAUCAAGCCAUGCUGUAGCGGCAUCCCACAUACAAAGUAGAGGAGGAUGGGCAGAGAUGUCAGCUGAAGGUCAAUCUUCCUCACAAAAGAGAGAGAGAGAGAGAGAGAGAGAGUCAUCUCAGAGCUGCUCACAGCAGUCUUUCCAUCAUUGAGCUUGGUUGUAUGACUACAUAGACUUGGGUGACAGCAGAGCCACUGUGAAGAGGACAAGGCAGAGAGCAAGCUGGAAAGUUGAAAGACUCCUUGUCUGAGGCACAGAGGCUGGACCAGAAGGACUGGAUGCCUCAGAGAGACAUUGACUUCUUUUCAAUGGGCACAUCAGCAUCAGUGCAAAUUGAUGAUCCCAGAUGAGAAGCAGACAACACAAAUUCGGCAGAGCAGCGCAGUAAAGCCAGAAUGAGAUAAAAUAUUGGCAGCCACUCAAAGCUAUGCACUUUCCCAACCUGUCCUCAGAGUGAUUUGGUGCUCAUUUUAGAGCCCUAUAGUAGUCCUAGCUACCUAUCACCCCAAUAAUUGCACACACAAAUACCUGCAAUUAAGUUACUAGCUUAAAAAUUGAUACACAAUUCAGUCAGUGUUGAUUUAAUGUUUCUCAACAAAACCUUUUUUUUCCCUCUAAGGUAGUAUGUCU
ensembl:lncRNA